rnacentral:rRNA from 1 species
UACGUAGGGGGCAAGCGUUGUCCGGAAUCAUUGGGCGUAAAGAGCGUGUAGGCGGCCCGGUAAGUCCGCUGUGAAAGUCCAGGGCUCAACCCUGGGAUGCCGGUGGAUACUGUCGGGCUCGAGUCCGGAAGAGGAGUGUGGAAUUCCUGGUGUAGCGGUGAAAUGCGUAGAUAUCAAGAGGAACACCUGCGGCGAAGGCGGGUUGCUGGGCUGACACUGACGCUGAAGCGCGAAAGCCAGGGGAGCGAACGGG